rnacentral:snRNA from 1 species
UCAGCUCUCUUUGCCUUCGGGCUUAGAUACAAAAGCAGUGGUUCUGCUGCUCUUGGUGAUUCUCGAGCACCCGCCUACGGGCGGUUUGAAUCACCAAAGUUUUUGGAACCCGGGGGGUCUGGCCGCUGGGGUUCUCAUUAACCCAAUGUCACUCCCCACAGUGUCGCCUGUAUUGCACUGCCUCGGGCUGACGCGAACUUUU